GAAGAGAAAUCUCUCAAGCCCUCACCCGUGCGCCUACCUCCCAUUCUCUCCCAUUCCAUUCUUCUUCCAAUCUCAAGUCAAGCAUCCAUUUUUCUUUCUUCUCAAGAAAAAAAUAGCAAGUUUUGGACUUCCAGCCAAGGGGUUCGUGUGCCCUCUAUUUCCCUAAGCUGAACCUACCUUUUCCCUUCUCCAUUUUCAUGUUUUGGGAAGGAUUCACCAAAGGUAUUGAUGAAGAGGUUGUGGAGCCGGGCACUACCGAGGAGGAAGGGGCCGAUGCUUAGUGGUCCCCUGUCGGUUUGACCCUUUUGAUGAUAAUGGUUUAUGCUUUUUAUGUUUUAGGAUGGGUCCUGUGUUGGGAUGUUUUGUUGAAUUAACUUGAAGACAAUGUAUCUUUUGGGUAUGAUAUAAUUUUUAUGGUGGGGCGAUUGUAACUGUGUAACUUCUAUGGUUGGGUGAUGGUAAUCCCCCCAUACGUUGACU